GUCUGAGGGGCUUAUGGACCCAUAGUGGUUUCAGGGACUAUGGAAACCUCAGGUGUGUGCCGGGAUGUUGUGGUCUGCAGUGGUCUCAAGUAUGGGGAACGGAUGUUGGGGCCAUAUCAGACUCAGGGGUGUGCGUGGAGGGAUGUCAGGGCCCAUAAUUAAUUCAGAGGUGUGUGUGUGUGUUUGUUUGUGUGCACUGUCAGGGUCUGUAGUGCUCUCAGGUGUGGGGGGCGUUGGGACCCACAACCAGUGUGAGGGGACAGUGCUUGGGCCCAGUAAAAAGGCAGCUCAGAGUCCUCAGUCCUGUGCUGCAGGUGUUGGGGGAGCCCUGACAAGGACUGUGUGUCCUGUGGCAGGAAGAGGCCCCUCUACCCAAAAGGAGCAGCUGGGAUUUGCCAGCAAAGCCCCAAAGGAAAAGGAGCUGUAGCAGGGGUUGAGAGCUGUGCGUUAGGAAUUGCUCAGAGCAGAGGCAGGGUAAGGUGUGUUCAUGCUGGUUGUGCCACACUUGGUGGCCUCUGAACCUUAACGCUAUUUAGUUGUAGAGACUUAUUUGACAGGGGAGGUUAAUGACUUCAUUUUUCUAAAUAAAACUGAAGGAGCAGAGCUUUAUCUGCCAGUACCUCACGCAGCCUCAUUCUGCCACCUUGCUCCUGACAGCUGUUACCCUUCUUGGGCUUCUAGAACCAUCCUCAGAGAGCUGUGUGAAACCACAGGUACAGAAACCUGAGAGCCCUGAGUCCCAGAUGAGGGGUGUUGGUGUGUCCUGUGCUCAGAGGCCAAGGUACAACGCAGCUCUUCUCAAUGUAGUUGAGUAAUUUCGCACAGUGAGUUUCCUGUUUAUAAGCUGAGCUCCAGAACCCAUUUUUUCCCCCUCUUUCUUACGAGUGGAAAGAAGAGCAGAGUGAGCACGACUCAUCUGUCAGCAGCCCUGUGCUGAGCAAGCAGGAGGCAGAGAUCUCUCCCCAAACGGAGCGAGUACAAAGCACUGAGUGAGUUGUGAGGAGAACAGCUCUGAUGGAAGCAGGAGCCAAGAACAACAGCUCGACAGGGAACUUUACACUUUCCCUGACAGCUCCUUGGGGCGGAGACAGUUAAGUUUCUGCGUUUGUAAGGGAAACAUGGCAUUCCUUAAAGCUGAGCCUCCUCCCUCGGGUUCCCACUGAAUGCCUGAGAGAUGACAGCAGAGGGUGUCUCCAGCAGGCUCCUAUUAAACAGGAGGAACUAGCACGGAGGGAGCAGCAGCUUUGAGAUCCCGGUUUUGACCGCAGAAUGAGCUAAAGUUCUGCAGUUUGCAGGUUUUUUUACCCACUGGCUCCUGUUCAGGGGGUUCCUGUGCCCUCGUGUCGGUGCCUGCACCUGCCCGAUGUGCGAAGGGCUGUGUUGGGAGGGCACUCGGCUCCAAGCAGGACGUGCUGAGGCAGCAGUGAGGCAGGGCAGACGAUCCUGGGGAGGGCUGCUGUGGUUCAGGCACACUUAGAACUGGUUUGGUGUUCCCAGCAGCACAAACCCGGCUGGCAGGGGAGCCUGUGAGCCGAGUGUGUGGACAGAUGGAACAGAUACGGACAGGAAAUGGGGGAGAAAGGGGAAACACUGGUGUUUGUAAAGCUCCGAGGGGGCUCUGGUUAGUUCUUCUAGAGUCCUGCAGUCCCGUUUCUAUUUUUAGCAGAGUGUCUGGAUGGCUUUGGGGAGUGCUUUAGGAGCUCAAGGCAGGUGUGAGCGUGGGGAGAGCACAGAGCCGUGGGCACCAGGAGCUCAUGCGAUGUGGCAGCCGCCACCACGCCCUUUCCUGUUCACCCCGGGGCCGCGGGCAGCCGUGCCAGCCACGCUGCCUGAGCGGGGAGAAGGGAAAGGAGGGGUUUCCAACGUGCUGAUAACCCACAGCAUUCCUUGGGAAAGGAGGGCUGGUGAGCAGCUCUGGUGGGGUCUCUGCUCCGAGACAAAAACGCUCCCAGAAGUUCUGGGAGCUGCUCGGGGGGCGGUGUCGACUUUUGGCCGUGCCUCAGCCCCGUCCCCUGUUAGAGGCAAUAUUGACUUAAGGAAAGAGGCACGGAGCAUACUUGGCAUGGGUGUUCCGAGUUAAAAAUUGUCAGUCUGGGCAAACAGACCUUUGGGAUGAUCGGCAGGAAAGCCGAGUGGCUGCGCUGCAUUAUUGCUGCCCCUUAGAGAACACGGUGUGACCGACCUUGCUGCUGCUCUGGGCACUCGGCUCGGCGGGUUGGGAGAGGCGCUGCGGGUUUUGGAGCUCAGAGCUUCAGAUCAAACCCAUUUCCUUCCCCUCGGUGAGGUGUUUGUAGUGCCUCGGUGAGUCAAUAAGCUGUGCACGUGAGGAAUGCACCUCGCAGCUGAAGCAGUGCCCAGUCAGGAGAAUAACCAGUACCUGGCAGAUGUGAGGCACGUGUCCUACAAAAGCUGCUGUUCACUGGCACGAGGCACCUGAUUCACCCGGGUGAGAUCACAGGGCUCUCUGUGGCGGGGCUCUGCCAGGAGGAACACGGAAGUAAUUUCUCUAUUAAAAUAUAAUAAAAUUCGAAAGAGUA